rnacentral:snRNA from 1 species
GUGCUUGCUUCCACAGCACAUAUACUAAAAUUGGAAUGAUAGAGAGAAGAUCAGCAGGGCCCCUGUGCAAGGAUGAUGCACAAAUUCAUGAAGAGUUCCAUUUUUUU